UGCAGAUAGAAAUAAAACAGUCACGAUAAUUGUUACACCCUGCAGUGGACUUCAUCUCUGCAAUGAUCACAACUAAGGUGUAGUUGAGCUCCAUUACCAUCUGUACUCAGACCUUUUAGUGCUUCAACAACUAUUGAACUUCAACAUCUCAUUGCUAAUUUCAGGUUCAUUUAGAGGACAGAGAGACAUUUCUCACAAACCUUAUUUACCUAACUCUUUCUACUAAAAUAGAGAAUGCUUUAACCUUUCAAAUGGUAAAAUAUUUCAACAAGCUGUGAAAAGCCUUAUGCUUAUAACAUGGUAAAAAUAACAUGAGGUGUAAAAAGCUUUCUUACCAGUUAAUUGCUUCAUUGACAAGAAGUCACCCUUCAUUAUAUUAGACUAGGACCUGGUCCAUUACUUUGUAACAAGCCCAUGGUUAACAGUCAUAAGUGUAGGACUGACAUACUUCUAAACAACUUCUGACAUCAAUGUUUAUUAGAAAAGGAAAAGAUAGGUACCUUCUGCAAAUACUUCUCCAUUCCAUUUGUCCUCAAAGACGAAGAGAAAGACAUCAACCACACAAUAGCUUCCAUCUUCAAUAACACAUUUUGGUAACCCACUUCUCAAGGCUAGAGUAAAUGAUUUGAUUUAGUAAAAAUGUGACAAGUACAACCACAGAUAGACCUUCCCAAUCUCAGCAAGCCUACAUACAUUCAUGCAAAAACUCAUUAACCGAAUUUCAAAGCCAAUAAUGUAGUAUUGAAAAAUAAAUUGCUCUUAUUGAAAUUGGGUUCUCAAACUUGGCCCAGAUUUGGCAUUUAGACUAAGAUACUGCAGCAAUUCAUGGUGGCACAUAAAGCAAAAUAUGCAUAGUAGUAUAUAAUAUAAUUCCAAAAACAGUCAGGGGCUUGUACAUAUACACGAUGAAGGGAUAAAUAGCUUUUUCCUUGGGUACGAAUACACCGACAAUAAUAGAAAGUUGAUAAAAUGCGUCUUGCGUACACGUGUGCUUAAAACCUUUCCUAGUACGUGUAUGCUUAAAGUCUUUCCCACUAAAGGGGAAAUCUUUUAUAUGUAUAUUUCAUAGCAAUCAUCCAAUUAUCGUGCAAGAAAACUAUAUAUCAAAAUAUGUAUUUAUUACAAAAAUAAGUUAAAAUUGUGUGGAAGAUUCAUCAUAAAUAGCGAUCCAAACAAUUGUUUAACAAACAAUUUACAAGCACUUCUAGAAUAUCAUAAAAGUAGAAGAAAUAUUAGAUUUAGCACUUUUACUUCAUCUUCAAAUUCUCACUAUUUAUCAAAAAAAUUUUGAUUUAAUUCAUUGCAAUAUAUUAUACAGCAAUAAAUAAAUAAAUAAAUAAAUAAAUAAAAGAAAUCUUAGAUAUCAAACUCACAGAGCUCCAUUCUUCUCUCUUUUUAAAACUUUCUGAAUAUCAAAACAUGUAUUAAACUUAUACAUUUGAAUUAUCAUAAAAUUUUAUUGAAGAUAAUAAAAAUGAAGUAAAAAUUAAUCUUAGAAUUUAUAUUCUUCGAUUCACUUACUUCUAUUUUCUUGUAAACCAAAUAACAAUUUUAUUAUAUACAGUUUAAAAGAUUAUAGGAACAAAAUGAACCAUAGAUUCUUCACUUUCUUCCAUUUUCUCAACAAACAAACAAGGAUGAACAAUUUAAAAAAAAAACAAUAUUUGAUCGAGAACAAAACAUAUACCAAAAAGAAUCUAAAUCAUUACAAUAAAACAUUAAAAGGAAAAUGAAUCAUAGAUAUUAAACUCAUGGGAUUUAACUUUCUUUUCUUUUCUUUGGGUUUUUUUUUUCUUUUUAAUUUUCUCAAAACCAAAACAUGAAUUAAACUUAACGCAAAAGGAAUACAUUUGAAAGAUCAAAAAAUUUCAUUGAGAAAAAAACAAAGAAAAAGAACAAUGGAAUCUUAGAAUAUAUACUCUUCAAUUUGCUUUCCAUUUUUUCAAAAAAGCAAACAACAAUUUUAUCAUCAUACACAAUUUAAAAAGAUCACAAAUAAAUCAUAGAUUUUUUACCUUCAUUAUCUCAACAAAACAAACAAACAAGGAUGAACAAAGGGAAAAAGAGAAGAUCUAAAACAAAAUUUGAAAAGAACAUAAAUUAAACAAUACCUUCGUUGAAAUCAUAAAAGAGAUUAUAAGAGUGAAAGAAAUAAAUGAAAGGGGAAUCCAGCUAGGUAUAGAUGUGAGAUAAUAAUAACACUUAUCAUCAUUAUUAUUU
rnacentral:lncRNA from 1 species